UACGUAGGGUGCAAGCGUUAAUCGGAAUUACUGGGCGUAAAGCGUGCGCAGGCGGUGAUGUAAGACAGGUGUGAAAUCCCCGGGCUUAACCUGGGAACUGCAUUUGUGACUGCAUCGCUGGAGUGCGGCAGAGGGGGGUAGAAUUCCACGUGUAGCAGUGAAAUGCGUAGAGAUGUGGAGGAACACCGAUGGCGAAGGCAGCCCCCUGGGUCAAGAUUGACGCUCAUGCACGAAAGCGUGGGGAGCAAACAGG
rnacentral:rRNA from 1 species